AUUUAGUCUGAAAGUGUAGUGUUUUGUUUCAGGCCAAGACCGUAAGAAUCACAGACCAACAUGGCGGACGAUGAGAGAAUUCGCAUCGAGGAGGCGAAAAAGUUGAAGCAGGCCGAGAUCGAGCGCAAACGCGCUGAGGUGCGCAAGCGCCUGGAGGAGACGGCCAAAGCCAAGAAGGCCAAGAAGGGUUUCAUGACCCCAGAGAGGAAGAAAAAACUCAGGUUAUUGCUGAGAAAGAAGGCCGCUGAAGAGUUGAAGAAGGAGCAGGAGAGGAAAGCAGCCGAGAGGAAGAGGAUCAUUGAUGAACGCUGCGGUAAACCAAAGAAAGUCGACGAUGCAAAUGAAGAUACAAUUAAGUGCGUGCUCAUGGACUACCACGAGAGAAUCAGCUCUUUGGAGGACGUCAAGUUCGACCUGGAAUACGCAGUUAAAAAGAAAGAUUUCGAGAUCUCCGACCUCAACAGUCUGGUGAACAAUCUCCCGGGUAAAUUCCAAAAGCCCACACUGAAGAAGGUUUCUAAAUACGAGAACAAGUUCGCCAAGCUGCAGAAGAAAGCAGCGGAGUUCAACUUCCGCAACCAACUCAAGGUUGUCAAGAAGAAGGAGUUCACCCUCGAGGAGGAGGACAAGGAGCCCAAGAAGUUGGAAAAAGCGGAUUGGCAGAUGAAGAAAUAAUCAUGUAGACACAAAUUCACAAUCAAAAACACUGCACUGUAUCAUACAUGUGUGUCUGAAGUUACUUAACUCUUACCUUGCAACUUCUUAAAUAUUUCACAUUUCAGUUUUUUGACUCGCAAAUCACAGAAGAUUUGUUUCUUUCUACCCGCCUCACUGGCAGAACCCACUUCCACGUUUUCAUGUAUUUUUCUUACAUAGUUUAUCUUUCAUGUUCUGUUGUUGUGCUUACUUUAAUUUUGUUGGCUUUUGUCUUAUUUUGUGAUGUCUCUGUGCUAAAAUUUUAUACGUCUUUUUCCUCUGUAUGACGUAAGCAUAUCGUGGCUGUAUUUUGUCUUUACCACAUCGGAUUUACGGAGUUUUAGUAACAUUUUUAUUCGAAGAUUUUUUUUAAUUGAAAGAAUAAAUCAUGAAUUUGUACAUAAGUAGUUGAAUAUUCAGUUAUACAUACGACUAGUCGCACAAUUCCAGCGUCUAAGUAACAACCAACAUGGACGACGUCUUCAAGAGCAGAAAAAGCCGGACUGGACAAAGAAAGGCGAGGAGAAGAAGGAAGGCGAAAAAGAAGUGGAGGCAUAAAUUUUGAUAUUUCUGUAUGUAAAUUACUUUUAUAAAUUUCAAACCAAAAUCACAUUUCAAUACAGACUAUCAACGAACAUCCAAGUCGUGAAGUCGACAAUGAAUGUGAUCUUCGUGUUCCUUUUUAUUUCAAGUUUGAACUAUUUUAUGUUGAAUACUUUGUAGCAAACUUGUAUUUUUCUACCUUCCGUAAUGUUUAUCCCUUUUAAUUAUAAAUAUGUGGGUCUGUCUUGUGGAUUUAUUUGUACCCCUGCUUGCAAGAGAAAUGAAUCAGAACGUGCGUAGCAAUGUACAGCUACGCAAGUGAAGUGUACAGCCCGUGUGAACCCUGCAGAUUAUCACACACACGAAAUAAAAAUAAAAAUCUUUCUUUGACCGCAAA